rnacentral:lncRNA from 1 species
AAACUGUAAAUAAACCAAGACCGUUCCAGGAGAUUCUAUAGACUUUUGCUGAUGAAUACACAAAAGCAGACCAUCAGACAGACACGCUAGCCUUAAAAAAAUUGACUGACCCUCCCACUCGCCUCUUGGCUGUGUCGUGGAUGGAGUGGAGGGAACCAGGCCGCCUGCCCGGGUCUGGAGCGCUGCUGUCUGCUGAUGAAGGCACAUCUUAUGCUGGAUCCUCACCUGUUUUGCUGUGAAUUGAAAACUAGGCUCUAUACUUGUGUAGUUUCCCAGGUUACCUCUCAAGGCAGCUAGGAUGCCGCCUGCCAGCAGAUUCCAUUUAUUUGGACAAGACCGUGCGAGAUGCCUUCCUAAUUAGCUGUAUUGGCUGCUUGAGUCACCGGGCACUCCAGGUGGGUGCUGGGCUGGGGAGCACCGAGGGAGCUGGGUUGCUAACGAAGGGGGUGAGGCCGUAUGUGAGUUGGAUCCUAAACAAUGAGAAACAUUUACCCCCAAGACUGGGGGUAAGAGACGUUCCAGCCUAAAAGGUCAACUGGGUAACGAACGAAUGAGGUCAACUGGGUUCAGAACGACCUCCUUUGGUAGUUUGGUGUCAGCAGUAUGAAAAUAUGCUUCCUACGCAGUAAGAGAUUCAAUCCGAAGUUUAAAGCAGGGUCACCUCGAGUUUGAGGGAGCACACCCCUGGGAGCCGGUGGGACCCGGUGCAGGUCUUGCCUCACGCUCUCCCCUCUGUGUGGCCUGUAAACCCU